rnacentral:tRNA from 1 species
GGUUCGAUGGCGUAGUUGGUUAUCGCAUCUGUCUAACAUACGACAGCCCUUUAUGUCAACAUUACACAGAAGGUCCCCAGUUCGAGCCUGGGUCGAAUCA